ACGUGUUUCAGAGCAAGAACAACUGAAUGAAAACCCAGCCUCCGAGCAGGAUUCCCUCGUUCUCCAGGCCUCCAACUCCAAGGACGCGGCUACAGGCCUCCAACUCCAAGGACGCGGCUAGUAAUCGUCGUGGCGGCGGCCGAUGGCGAGCGCCCUGACGAAGCACGCGGACGCGCCGACGGCGAGCCCGGCGAACGCCGGCGGCACGAUCAGGUCGAUCCCGGACCGCCCCGCC
rnacentral:lncRNA from 1 species